ACGGGGAUUACACGGUGAUGCGAUUUCGGUCAAAUCAAGUGCAAUCUUAGUGGCGGACGGGUGAGUAACGCGUGGGUAACCUGCCUUGCACUGGGGGAUAACACUUAGAAAUAGGUGCUAAUACCGCAUAAGCGCACGGUCCUGCAUGGGACAGUGUGAAAAACUCCGGUGGUGCAAGAUGGACCCGCGUCUGAUUAGCUGGUUGGCGGGGUAAAGGCCCACCAAGGCGACGAUCAGUAGCCGGCCUGAGAGGGUGGACGGCCACAUUGGGACUGAGACACGGCCCAAACUCCUACGGGAGGCAGCAGUGGGGGAUAUUGGACAAUGGGGGGAACCCUGAUCCAGCGACGCCGCGUGAGUGAAGAAGUAUUUCGGUAUGUAAAGCUCUGUCAGCAGGGAAGAAAGCAAUGACGGUACCUGACCAAGAAGCCCCGGCUAACUACGUGCCAGCAGCCGCGGUAAUACGUAGGGGGCAAGCGUUAUCCGGAAUUACUGGGUGUAAAGGGAGCGUAGACGGCUGUGCAAGUCUGGAGUGAAAGGCGGGGGCCCAACCCCCGGACUGCUCUGGAAACUGUAUGGCUGGAGUGCAGGAGAGGUAAGCGGAAUUCCUAGUGUAGCGGUGAAAUGCGUAGAUAUUAGGAGGAACACCAGUGGCGAAGGCGGCUUACUGGACUGUAACUGACGUUGAGGCUCGAAAGCGUGGGGAGCUUUACAAGGUUAGAUACCCUGGUAGUUCCUCGCCGUAAACGAUGAUUAUUAGGUGUCGGUGGGUAUGGACCCAUCGGUGCCGCAGCAAACGCAGUAAGUAAUCCACCUGGGGAGUACGUUCGCAAGAAUGAAACUCAAAGGAAUUGACGGGGACCCGCACAAGCGGUGGAGCAUGUGGUUUAAUCCGAAGCAACGCGAAGAACCUUACCAAGUCUUGACAUCUGGAUGACAGGGACGUAACGGUCCCCUUACUUCGGUACAUCCAAGACAGGUGGUGCAUGGUUGUCGUCAGCUCGUGUCGUGAGAUGUUGGGUUAAGUCCCGCAACGAGCGCAACCCUUAUCCUUAGUAGCCAGCGGGCAGGGCCGGGCACUCUAGGGAGACUGCCGGGGAUAACCCGGAGGAAGGUGGGGAUGACGUCAAAUCAUCAUGCCCCUUAUGAUUUGGGCUACACACGUGCUACAAUGGCGUAAACAGAGGGAAGCGAACCCGCGAGGGGGAGCAAAUCCCAAAAAUAACGUCCCAGUUCGGAUUGUAGCCUGCAACCCGGCUACAUGAAGCUGGAAUCGCUAGUAAUCG
rnacentral:rRNA from 1 species